UACGUAGGGUGCGAGCGUUAAUCGGAAUUACUGGGCGUAAAGCGUGCGCAGGCGGUUUUGUAAGCCAGAUGUGAAAUCCCCGGGCUCAACCUGGGAAUGGCAUUUGGGACUGCAAGGCUGGAGUGCGGCAGAGGAGACUGGAAUUCCUGGUGUAGCAGUGAAAUGCGUAGAUAUCAGGAGGAAUACCGAUGGCGAAGGCAGGUCUCUGGGCUGACACUGACGCUCAUGCACGAAAGCGUGGGGAGCAAACG
rnacentral:rRNA from 1 species